rnacentral:rRNA from 1 species
UACGUAGGGUGCAAGCGUUAAUCGGAAUUACUGGGCGUAAAGCGUGCGCAGGCGGUUAUGUAAGACAGUUGUGAAAUCCCCGGGCUCAACCUGGGAACUGCAUCUGUGACUGCAUAGCUAGAGUACGGGUAGAGGGGGAUGGAAUUCCGCGUGUAGCAGUGAAAUGCGUAGAUAUGCGGAGGAACACCGAUGGCGAAGGCAAUCCCCUGGACCUGUACUGACGCUCAUGCACGAAAAGCGUGGGGGAGCAAACGAGGAUUAC